AGCACCAUAAUAAUAUGUGGAACAUGAUUUAGAAGAACCAAUUUUACCCUGGCCAAAUUAUCAAAAAUAUUUUAAAGUAUUAAGAGUCAUUGAGGAUAAUUUUUUUUCAAGAAGCUGAAAGUGAAGUGUUAAAGUUGUGUCGAUACAAAGUGUUACAAGGUGGAUUCACGUUCAAACUCUAAUAUAAGAAAACAUUCAAGCACACAACAUUCAACUAUAUUAAAGAAAAUUGAUCACAUCGAUAAUGUAGCGAACAAAAACACUUUAAAGAGAUGCAAUGAUGUAUCAUAAUGCUGGUAGUUCUUUAAAACAAUCAGAUCAAAACAACACGUUUUAGAAGAUUUUUUGAACAACAAAAAAUGAACUAGUCAAAGUAAGAAUGUGUAUUGUUUAUUUUUAUUUUUUGUUUUAUUAAAUAGUUUUUAGUUGCAGCAUUAACAAAAGUAGUUGUUAUUUACAUGACUACAUGACUAUAUACUGAUACAUUGCUAGUGAACGAUACGGUUGUUAAUGAUUUAGAAGAAAUCGACGCAUUCAACUUGAACAUUCUAAAUGAUGAAGACCAUGAUUUACCAUAUGUAUUACCAAAACACCAUCAAUGUUGUGCACACACAAAAAAUUUAAUAGCAACAAGGGUAAUUAAACAUUUAUUUAAGAAGAUAACCUAAUAUAGUUUAAUUAUAAAAUACUAAAAAUAUUUUUAUCGAAAAGAAUAUAUUUUGAGUAAGUUUAGUGAUCAGGACAAAACUAUUAGGUAGUAGGUUUAACACUUAAUAAUCAUAAUCAAAUUUGUAUGAGUUGUAAUACAUUUAAAAAUUAAAUUUUUCUUUCAAUUGAAAUGAUAAAAAUAUUCUAAGAUAUAAGUAUAUAUUUCCCAGGCAUUUGACAAAGUCUGGCACGAAGGUCUUCUGUUUAAACUUCGUACAUUUCUUCCUCCUUCACUGUUUCUACUAAUGGAGUCAUAUCUUACAGACCGACAUUUUCAAAUACGUCAAGGUUCUGCCGCCUCAAAUAUAGCCACAAUUAGUGCAGGAGUACCCCAAGGAGGUGUACUUUCUCCUAUCUUAUUUAAUAUUUAUGCAGCCGACCAACCUACUACACAAAAUACUAUUGUUGCUGAUUAUGCUGACGACAAAGUCAUAUUGUCAGUACAUAAUGAUCCACUAAUUGCUUCAAGAAAUUUACAAUCCCACCUAAAUCUACUCUCAGAAUGGUAUGCCAAAUGAAAAAUUAAAUUAAAUAACAACAAAUCCAUUCACGCGACUUUCACACUAAGACACAUACUUUGCCCUAAUGUAACUGUAGAUAAUUUACCCAUCCCUGCUCUUGACACUGUUAAAUACUUAGGACUAAACCUCGAUAAAAGAUUAACAUGGAAAAAUCAUAUAAGGAAAAAAAGAUUAAUACUUAAUGCCCGCUCAUGUUCUCUAAAAGUAUUACUUUCAAAAAAUAAAUUCACAUCUUUAAAAACAAAACUUCAAAUAUACAAAUCUCUUCUGAAACCGAUAUGGACGUAUGGAAUCCAAAUAUGGGGAUCGGCAAAAAAAACAAAUUUAAACAAAAUUCAGGCCUUCCAAAAUAUUACCCUUCGUAAAAUCACAAAUGCCCCACCCUUCGUCUCUAACAUGACCCUCCACAAAGACCUAGGUAUAAAAACAGUAGAAGAAGAAGCUGCUAUUUUCUAUAAACAUUUUUACAAUAAAUUAGAAAACCAUGAAAAUCCUCUAAUAAAAGGCUCACAUAUCCCGUCACCUCCUGGAAAUCCCCGUCGCAGGCUGAAAAGGAAAUGGUGUAGGGAUCAUCUAAUUUAAUCCUAACAAGUUAUGUAAUCACAUAAUAAACAUGCUAAGUGCUACUGAUGGGUGGCUUCUUAUUCACGUAACUCCAUAAUGUUUUGUUACCCUUAUCUCAUAUAUACUUAUUGUGCUUAAUUGUAUAGAUUGUGUAUU